UGGCAGUACUGUGAAUGGGGCAGCAUUGUGUUUAGCUGUCCCAUAAGGUAUAUGUUUGAUGGCAGUACUGUGAAUGGGGCAGCAUUGUGUUUAGCUGUCCCAUAAGGUAUAUGUUUGAUGGCAGUACUGUGAAUGGGGCAGCAUUGUGUUUAGCUGUCCCAUAAGGUAUAUGUUUGAUGGCAGUACUGUGAAUGGGGCAGCAUUGUGUUUAGCUGUCCCAUAAGGUAUAUGUUUGAUGGCAGUACUGUGAAUGGGGCAGCAUUGUGUUUAGCUGUCCCAUAAGGUAUAUGUUUGAUGGCAGUACUGUGAAUGGGGCAGCAUUGUGUUUAGCUGUCCCAUAAGGUAUAUGUUUGAUGGCAGUACUGUGAAUGGGGCAGCAUUGUGUUUAGCUGUCCCAUAAGGUAUAUGUUUGAUGGCAGUACUGUGAAUGGGGCAGCAUUGUGUUUAGCUGUCCCAUAAGGUAUAUGUUUGAUGGCAGUACUGUGAAUGGGGCAGCAUU